AUUGAACGCUGGCGGCAGGCCUAACACAUGCAAGUCGAACGGUAACAGGAAACAGCUUGCUGUUUCGCUGACGAGUGGCGGACGGGUGAGUAAUGUCUGGGAAACUGCCUGAUGGAGGGGGAUAACUACUGGAAACGGUAGCUAAUACCGCAUAACGUCGCAAGACCAAAGAGGGGGACCUUCGGGCCUCUUGCCCUCGGAUGUGCCCAGAUGGGAUUAGCUAGUAGGUGGGGUAACGGCUCACCUAGGCGACGAUCCCUAGCUGGUCUGAGAGGAUGACCAGCCACACUGGAACUGAGACACGGUCCAGACUCCUACGGGAGGCAGCAGUGGGGAAUAUUGCACAAUGGGCGCAAGCCUGAUGCAGCCAUGCCGCGUGUAUGAAGAAGGCCUUCGGGUUGUAAAGUACUUUCAGCGGGGAGGAAGGGAGUAAAGUUAAUACCUUUGCUCAUUGACGUUACCCGCAGAAGAAGCACCGGCUAACUCCGUG
rnacentral:rRNA from 1 species